GACGAACGCUGGCGGCGUGCUUAACACAUGCAAGUCGAACGGAAAGGCCCUGCUUUUGUUGGGUGCUCGAGUGGCGAACGGGUGAGUAACACGUGAGUAACCUGCCCUUGACUUUGGGAUAUCUUCACGAAACUGGGGCUAAUAUCGCAUAUGAGCUCCUGCUCCACGGGGUGGGUUGGAAAGUUUCGGCGGUUGGAGAUGGACUCGAGGCUUAUCGGCUUGUUUGUGGGGUUGUGGCUUUCCAAGUCUUCGACGGAUACCCGGCCUGAGAGGGUGACCGGCCACAAUGGUACUAAGGUAGGGCCCAGACUCCUACGGGAGGCAGCAGUGGGGAGUAUUGCGCAAUGGGCGGGAGCGUGAUGCGGCGACGCCGCGUGCGGGAUGACGGCCUUCGGGUUAUAAACCGCUUUCGCCUGUGACGAAGCGUGAGUGACGGUAAUGGGUAAAGAAGCACCGGCUAACUACGUG
rnacentral:rRNA from 1 species